GAGCGCUGUAGCAAUACAGAGCGGCGCACGGGUGAGUAACACGUGGGAACGUGCCCUUUGGUUCGGAAUAACCCAGGGAAACUUGGGCUAAUACCGGAUAAGCCCUAACGGGGAAAGAUUUAUCGCCAUUGGAGCGGCCCGCGUCCGAUUAGCUUGUUGGUGAGGUAAAAGCUCACCAAGGCAACGAUCGGUAGCUGGUUUGAGAGAACGACCAGCCACACUGGGACUGAGACACGGCCCAGACUCCUACGGGAGGCAGCAGUGGGGAAUCUUGGACAAUGGGGGAAACCCUGAUCCAGCCAUGCCGCGUGAGUGAUGAAGGCCCUAGGGUUGUAAAACUCUUUCGGCGGGGACGAUAAUGACGGUACCCGCAGAAGAAGCUCCGGCUAACUUCGUG
rnacentral:rRNA from 1 species